AACGAACGCUGGCGGCAGGCUUAACACAUGCAAGUCGAACGCACCUUUCGGGGUGAGUGGCAGACGGGUGAGUAACGCGUGGGAAUCUACCCUUCUCUACGGGAUAGCUCCGGGAAACUGGAAUUAAUACCGUAUACGUCCUGAGGGAGAAAGAUUUAUCGGGGAAGGAUGAGCCCGCGUUGGAUUAGCUAGUUGGUGGGGUAAAGGCCUACCAAGGCGACGAUCCAUAGCUGGUCUAAGAGGAUGAUCAGCCACAUUGGGACUGAGACACGGCCCAAACUCCUACGGGAAGCAGCAGUGGGGAAUAUUGGACAAUGGGCGCAAGCCUGAUCCAGCCAUGCCGCGUGAGUGAUGAAGGCCCUAGGGUUGUAAAGCUCUUUCAGGGGGGACGAUAAUGACGGUACCCACAGAAGAAGCCCCGGCUAACUUCGUG
rnacentral:rRNA from 1 species